UGCUUUACACAUGCAAGUCGAACGGUAGAGGGGCAACCCUUGAGAGUGGCGAACGGGUGAGUAAUGCAUCGGAACGUGCCCAGUAGUGGGGGAUAGCCCGGCGAAAGCCGGAUUAAUACCGCAUGAGACCUGAGGGUGAAAGCGGGGGACUCGCAAGAACCUCGCGCUAUUGGAGCGGCCGAUGUCAGAUUAGCUAGUUGGUGGGGUAAAGGCCUACCAAGGCGACGAUCUGUAGCUGGUCUGAGAGGACGACCAGCCACACUGGGACUGAGACACGGCCCAGACUCCUACGGGAGGCAGCAGUGGGGAAUUUUGGACAAUGGGCGCAAGCCUGAUCCAGCCAUGCCGCGUGCGGGAAGAAGGCCUUCGGGUUGUAAACCGC
rnacentral:rRNA from 1 species